GGUUGCAUGGUGUAACGGCUAGCACGUCAGACUCUGAAUCUGGAGAUUCGGGUUCGAGUCCCGGUGCGACCU